GGCCCUAGACUAAACACGCCGCCCUCACUCUCAUCCCACACACUAAAAAAGUCGUACGCACUUCCUUACUCUCUGUGUCUCCCAAAACGCCGGCGACCAUACCCCAGCUCCCCUGCCUCGCCGACGCUGGCCUCAACGACCGUCUCCUCCUUCCUCUUCCUCCAGGAGACCGGAGACCAGGUGGCACUCACCGAAGGCCAGGUGACCCAGUGGGAGGCGCCAACAGAGGUGGAGGGGCAGACCUCGUCUCCACCGGAUCCGCAGCCGCGGCCACCGUCACCAGAUCCGCAAUCGAGCGGGGAUGAAGGGCGCUAAAUUGGCAGCUGGAACAGGCCAUCGGCGGCGGCAGACCACUCUUUUUAUAGGUGGAAUUGUUGUAGAAGUGUAGGGGGCUUGCUGCAAUGCUGUUACUCUGUUAUGGUUCUCAAUUAAGCUGCUACUCCUCUCGAGCUAAGCAGGUCAGAGGAAGAAGUCGAACCUGAAGAAAGUGCAGCUGUACGCGUGUGGCGGGAGCCUGUCUCCGUUGACGGGACGUUCAGCCGGGCGCGGGUGCCGGUGGGAGCCCAUCCACUCGUUCAGCAACGUGGAGUGCAGCCUCCCGUGGAGGCUAUGGCGUUGCUCUUGUGUCACGGGAGCGGGCAGCACCAGGAGUGCUGCGGCGUGGGCGGAGGUGCCGACGCGAGCCUGUCCCUUCAUUCAGGGGACGUGCAGGGCGGCCUGCCAUGGAGGCUGUGGCGGAUCUCUUGUGGGACGGCAGCGGGCGGCUGUCGGCGGGCCAGAAAGUGCUGCGGCGGCGAGCGGGAUGCGGUGGCGGUGAGGGGAGAGUGGUAUUGGGCUGUUGUUUUGUUCAACCGUUUUUUUAUUGUGGGAGAUGUCUCGCGUGGGUGGGUUGGCUUGAUUCGAUCGUGGGUGUUGUCCGCUCCAUCAAACAUGAAGAGCCUGUGGGUCCUUGGAUCUUGUAAUUGUACGGUGUGGAUUGUCCGGAUCAGCCCCUCUGGGGCUUUUAUUAGUAGUAGA